rnacentral:lncRNA from 1 species
UUGGGUUAACGUUACUAUAAUCUUCCUAUUUUAUGUCCUUGUAAUGUUGUUUUCUUCUUUGUCUAUUUACAAUCAGGCAUCUUGGAACUUUGCUCUGAACUUGUUGUAUUUGGCCAGUCUUGACUCGAAUAUUAUUUACGCAAUCAGUCUGAUGAGGUUGUUAGUAGACAAACUUGAACUUUGGAGUGUUCGUGUCUUGAUGACUAGCGCUGAUGACAAUGAUGCGACAUAUCGUUAUCAAAUGUUUGAAGCAUAUAAGCAAAUUUUGAAAUGCUAUGAUUUGUGUAAAGAUGUUUUUCAGCAACAGGUGGUUUACCAAACAAUUGAAACUUUCUGUCGUUGUUUAAUUAACAUUCAAGUGAUGAUUGAGUACAGAAAAAUAAUAAUGGUAAAAACUCCUUUAGUAUCAAUACUUCUGUACUUCUGGCUUUUUAAGACAAUCCUACUUCAAAUAAGCCUGAGCCUUCACUUAGAAGCAUUCUAUGAAGGUGUGAAACAUGCACAAGAUUGCUGCUCCAAGAUAUUAGCAUCAAACAAUAUAGGUUAUUAUUUUGAAUACUAUUGAUACUUACAAGUGUAUCUAAUAGUCUUGUAGCUAAUCUCAUAAAAUUUUUGUUUAUUUCUAGCUGAGGAAAUAAAGCUAUGUAAGAACGUCCAGCGUCUACACAAUGCUUCCUACACAAAGAUGCGUGCCUGUGGUCUGUUCUGCGUGGACAUCUGCCAGCCGCUGCGGCUGUUGGCACUCAUCACCAACUAUACUGUGGUGAUGUUGCAGUUCGCGUUUCUGUAGUCCUGGUACCAGUGAACUGUAUUGGUUAUGGGAAUCUGGUUUUAUUUCUUUUUGUUGGGCUGGUCUUCUGG